rnacentral:rRNA from 1 species
UACGUAGGGUGCGAGCGUUGUCCGGAAUUACUGGGCGUAAAGAGCUCGUAGGUGGUUUGUCGCGUUGUUCGUGAAAUCUCACGGUUUAACUGUGAGCGUGCGGGCGAUACGGGCAGACUGGAGUACUGCAGGGGAGACUGGAAUUCCUGGUGUAGCGGUGGAAUGCGCAGAUAUCAGGAGGAACACCGGUGGCGAAGGCGGGUCUCUGGGCAGUAACUGACGCUGAGGAGCGAAAGCGUGGGGAGCGAACAGG